AAAUUGAAGAGUUUGAUCAUGGCUCAGAUUGAACACUGGCGGCAGGCCUAACACAUGCAAGUCGAACGGUAACAGGAAGCAGCUUGCUGCUUUGCUGACGAGUGGCGGACGGGUGAGUAAUGUCUGGGAAACUGCCUGAUGGAGGGGGAUAACUACUGGAAACGGUGGCUAAUACCGCAUAACGUCGCAAGACCAAAGAGGGGGACCUUCGGGCCUCUUGCCAUCAGAUGUGCCCAGAUGGGAUUAGCU
rnacentral:rRNA from 2 species